AUAAAAGCAGGGGCCUCUUGCAGUUGUGAAUGGGCCUCUUGCAAAUGUCAGGAAAGUCAUUUGGCGUUGUUAUUGGAUGAACCAAUGUUUUGUUUAUUGUAGCUGAAGGUUCAUUAAAUGUUGCAACUUUU